rnacentral:rRNA from 1 species
UACGGAGGGUGCGAGCGUUGUCCGGAAUCAUUGGGCGUAAAGGGCGCGUAGGUGGCCCGGUCAGUCUUUGGUGAAAGCGCGGGGCUCAACCCUGCGUCGGCCAGGGAUACUGCCGCGGCUCGAGCACUGUAGAGGCAGGCGGAAUUCCGGGUGUAGCGGUGGAAUGCGUAGAGAUCCGGAAGAAUACCCGUGGCGAAGGCGGCCAGCUGGGCCGGAUCCGACGCUGAGGCGCGAAAGCGUGGGGAGCAAACAGG